AGAACGAACGCUGGCGGCAGGCCUAACACAUGCAAGUCGAACGCCCCGCAAGGGGAGUGGCAGACGGGUGAGUAACACGUGGGAACAUACCCUUCGGUUCGGAACAACACAGGGAAACUUGUGCUAAUACCGGAUAAGCCCUUACGGGGAAAGAUUUAUCGCCGAAAGAUUGGCCCGCGUCUGAUUAGCUAGUUGGUGUGGUAACGGCUCACCAAGGCGACGAUCAGUAGCUGGUCUGAGAGGAUGAUCAGCCACAUUGGGACUGAGACACGGCCCAAACUCCUACGGGAGGCAGCAGUGGGGAAUAUUGGACAAUGGGCGCAAGCCUGAUCCAGCCAUGCCGCGUGAGUGAUGAAGGCCCUAGGGUUGUAAAGCUCUUUUGUGCGGGAAGAUAAUGACGGUACCGCAAGAAUAAGCCCCGGCUAACUUCGUAGCCAGCAGCCGC
rnacentral:rRNA from 1 species